AGAGUUUGAUCCUGGCUCAGGAUGAACGCUGGCGGCGUGCUUAACACAUGCAAGUCGAACGAAGCACUUUAUUUGAUUUCUUCGGAAUGAAGAUUUUGUGACUGAGUGGCGGACGGGUGAGUAACGCGUGGGUAACCUGCCUCAUACAGGGGGAUAGCAGCUGGAAACGGCUGGUAAUACCGCAUAAGCGCACAGUACCACAUGGUACAGUGUGAAAAACUCCGGUGGUAUGAGAUGGACCCGCGUCUGAUUAGCUAGUUGGCGGGGUAACGGCCCACCAAGGCGACGAUCAGUAGCCGACCUGAGAGGGUGACCGGCCACAUUGGGACUGAGACACGGCCCAGACUCCUACGGGAGGCAGCAGUGGGGAAUAUUGCACAAUGGAGGAAACUCUGAUGCAGCGACGCCGCGUGAGUGAAGAAGUAGUUCGCUAUGUAAAGCUCUAUCAGCAGGGAAGAUAGUGACGGUACCUGACUAAGAAGCUCCGGCUAAAUACGUGCCAGCAGCCGCGGUAAUACGUAUGGAGCAAGCGUUAUCCGGAUUUACUGGGUGUAAAGGGAGUGUAGGUGGCCAGGCAAGUCAGAAGUGAAAGCCCGGGGCUCAACCCCGGGACUGCUUUUGAAACUGCAGGGCUAGAGUGCAGGAGGGGCAAGUGGAAUUCCUAGUGUAGCGGUGAAAUGCGUAGAUAUUAGGAGGAACACCAGUGGCGAAGGCGGCUUGCUGGACUGUAACUGACACUGAGGCUCGAAAGCGUGGGGAGCAAACAGGAUUAGAUACCCUGGUAGUCCACGCC
rnacentral:rRNA from 1 species